rnacentral:lncRNA from 1 species
CCUUUCGAACAACUAGAAAUGUUAUGAUGUAUCGUUGGUCCGGCGUACGACGGCGCCUGGUGCGAUUUAUGCGCCCGGAAGCCCUUUCAGCCUCCAGGCAUGUCCCCACCUGCCUCACAGCCACCGACGCAUCUCACGGCGGGGUUCUAAUUGCGUGCGCGUAUGGAUGCUCCUAUUCCUGCCGCCUUUCUAGCAACUAGUUAUGUUAUUAUGCAUCGUUGGUCCGGCGUACGACGGCGCCUGGUGCGAUUUAUGCGUCCGGAAGCCCUUUCAGCCUCACAGGCAUGUCCCCACCUGCCUCACAGCCGCUGACGCAUCUCACGGCGGGGGUCUAAUUGCGUGCGCGUAUGGAUGCUCCUAUUCCUGCCGCCUUUCUAACAGCUAGUUACUGUUAUGAUGCAUCGUUGGUCCGGCGUACGACGGCGCCUGGUGCGAUUUAUGCGUCCGGAAGCCCUUUCAGCCUCACAGGCAUGUCCCCACCUGCCUCACAGCCGCCGACGCAUCUCACGGCGGGGGUCUAAUUGCGUGCGCGUAUGGAUGCUCCUAUUCCUGCCGCCUUUCUAGCAACUAGUUAUGUUAUGAUGCAUCGUUGGUCCGGCGUACGACGGCGCCUGGUGCGAUUUAUGCGCCCGGAAGCCCUUUCAGCCUCCAGGCAUGUCCCCACCUGCCUCACAGCCACCGACGCAUCUCACGGCGGGGUUCUAAUU